GGACCCGCACAAGUAGUGGAGCAUGUGGUUUAAUUCGAAGAUACGCGCAGAACCUUACCAACACUUGACAUGUUCGUCGCGACUUUAAGAGAUUAAAGUUUUCGGUUCGGCCGGACGAAACACAGGUGCUGCAUGGCUGUCGUCAGCUCGUGUCGUGAGAUGUUGGGUUAAGUCCCGCAACGAGCGCAACCCUCACUUUUAGUUGCCAUCAUUAAGUUGGGCACUCUGAAAGAACUGCCAGUGAUAAGCUGGAGGAAGGUGGGGAUGACGUCAAGUCCUCAUGGCCCUUACGUGUUGGGCUACACACGUGCUACAAUGGCAUCUACAACAGGAAGCAAGACGGCGACGUUAAAGCAAAUCCUUAAAAAGAUGCCUCAGUUCGGAUUGCACUCUGCAACUCGAGUGCAUGAAGCUGGAAUUACUAGUAAUCG
rnacentral:rRNA from 1 species